AAUUUUGAUAAAAUGUGUAAUUUUGAUCAAAGAGCGAACAUAAACAAAUCCUUAGAUGAUUGUUCUACUAAUUUUACAAACAAUUGUAUCGGUAGUGAUACUGGAGAUAUUAGAAGUGCAUGUAGUACUAGAGGUACUAGUACUAUCAGUGAAAAAACACAAAAAAGAAAAAAAUCAAGCCCCGAUAAAGAUAAUUAUAUGGCAAAAAAAAGAAGAUUAAUCUGUGACUACAUCAUGAAUGAUUAUUUAGAAUUCAAAAAAGUAUUUCUAAUUAUAAAUAAGUAUGAACAUAUAUAUGAAAAAAAAAUAAAAAUAUUAAAAAAUAAAAUACAAUUGUUAAAGGAAAAUAUAACAAACGUUACAAGUCGUAUGCAUUAUAUAAAUACAAAGGUACAAGACUGUUUUAAAAAAAUAAAUGAACUUCAAUUAGUGAUUAAAGAGAAUAGUUUAAAAAAUAUAUGUUAUAUAUCUGAAUCUUUUUUAAAUACAAAAAAAAAUAUAACAAAUAUAAAAACUGAUAUAAGUACAUUACUAAAUAAACAUAGUAUUUUAAUUAAAUGCGUUGAACAAUGUACCCUAACAAGUGACUAUAAUUUUUUUAAUCAUAUUAAGACUGAAAAAGCGGUAAAUCAUAUAAAAAAAAACAUAAAAAAUGAAUAUAAUGGUUUGGUUGAAGAUAUAAACUAUAAAACUAAAGAAUUAUUUCUUUUAAAAGACGAAAAUAAAAAUAUAACUAAACCUAUAAUGAUUGGUUAUAGUAAAAAUAUUGAAUCAUUAAACAAAGAAAAUAAUUUAUUAAAUGAUGAAAUAUAUGUAUUAAAUGAAAAAAUAAAAAAUAUACAAAAGGAGUUAGAUUUAUAUUUGUUAAAAAUUAAAAAUUAUAAUAAGAAUUAUAAAUUUUUAAAAUAUAUACAAAAAAUAGGAAAAAAAUUGUUAUAUAAACAAAAAAAUAUGAUUUCUGAAAGGGAGGAAUAUUGGAUGUAUAAUAAAAAGUUAAAAGAAUUGUUAUGUUGGUUUAGUAAUGGAAAAAUAAAUAUCGAGGGAAGAAAUGACCGUGUAAAGGAGUUUUAUUCGUUAAUGAGUUUCUUAGAGCAGUGGAUAAAAAUGGAAUAUAAUUAUACAUCAGAUUGGGAUCGAGACGAUUCAAACUUGACUAAUUUAAAAGAACUUAAAGAAUCAAUUUAUAAUUUUAUUAUAACAUUUGAUUAUAAACAAAGAAUAAAACUUAUGUUGGAUGAAAUAAAUAAUUAUGUUAAUAGUGAUUUUUUUUUUGUUUGGAAAAAUGUUUUUGGUUUCGACGGUGAAGUUGGUAGUGACAUUAGCAGUUGUAACAUUAGCAGUGGUGACAUUAGCAGUUGUAACAUUAGCAGUGGUGACAUUAGCAGUUGUAACAUUAGCAGUGGUGACAUUAGCAGUGGUGACAUUAGCAGUGGUGACAUUAGCAGUUGUAACAUUAGCAGUGGUGACAUCAACAGUGACUACAUUCAAGACGAAGUUAUUUCGAAAAAUAACACAAUUAAUGAAAAAAAAAUAAAAAUAAAAAAAAAUAUAAAGUACACUAACAAGAAUACUUUACUACAACCAGUACAACCAGUACAACCAG
ensembl:lncRNA